AGAACAAAACGAAGGUAAAAACGACCCAAAAAAAGUAGAAAAAAUGUUCAUGUCUCCUAUUUUUGUGGCUCCAUCUCCUCGAACUUUGUUUGGUGGACUUGAUUCUCCCUUUCCU
rnacentral:ribozyme from 13 species